rnacentral:lncRNA from 1 species
GUAGCUGAGAGGUCUUGAAUGGUUCUGUGUGAUGUGCUCUGAGCCCUGCUGCUGGGUGCUGUGAGGCGCGCACAGGCAAGCUCCCGAAGUUGCGACAUGAGUGGGCUUUGCUGAAUCCUUCCCAGAAGAGUCUCUACAAAGAUGUAAUGCUGGAGACCUACAAGAACCUCACUGCUAUAGGCUACAAUUGGGAAGACCAUUAUAUUGAAGAAGAAUUUCAAAGUUCUAGAAGAUAUGGAAGGCAUGAAACAGGUUAUACUGGAGAGAAACCCUAUGAAUGUACUCAUUAUGGUACAGGCUUUGCAAGUCAUGGUCAUCUUCAAAGGCAUAAAGGAACAUACACUGGCGAGAAACCCUAUGAAUGUAAACAAUGUGGUAAAGCCUUUGCAUGGAACUGUCAUCUCCAAAUACAUAAAAGAACACAUACUGGAGAGAAACCUUAUGAAUGUGAUCAAUGUGGUACAGCUUUUGCAAGUCAUGGUCAUCUUCAAAGGCAUAAAAGAACACAUACUGGA